UCAGUCGCUACGUAGCGACCUGUAAGGCCUCAGAAAGGUCCUCCUUUGGGUUGUCUUUUGAAUCCUCAUCGAAACGCUUUUCGUUUCGUCUCAAUCGGAGUUUCGGUGGAGAUUUUACGACAAAAACAAGUAGGACUCUUCUUAAACUCCUUGGCUUGUUCCUGCUCGCCCUACCUCCAUCUCUGCGUUCACUUUCGAAUCUCGAUCGAUACGUCUCUUGUUUCUAUCGGAGUUACCAUUGAAACUUUACGAUAAAAAAAAAAAAAACCCGCAAAGACUUGUUUUCUCGCAUGGAUUCAGGUUAAUCGUAUAAAACGGCAACGCUUAACUUAACAUCUUAGCCGCCUUAACUAUACGAUUAUGUUGAACCUUUUUACGAAAAUCGACGUCUUAUCUAAGGAGAAGAUAACAGUCAAGUUCGGAAGAUAAAUGUCAAGUUUCAAAGGAUAAACACCAAUAUCGGAAAUGGCGAACAUACACGAGAAGAGGAAAGGGAAAUGAGAAAGCAAAACUGAGAAAAGACAAAACUGUAUCUUUGAGAGGAUUAAGAUCUUGCAAACCGAUCUAAACUCUCCGAAAGUCGAGGAACGAUCGCCGCGCAUAUCAAGCUCGCUUCCUAAAGAGAGAAAAAGUUAGAGACAUGAACGUCGUCUUAAAACCAAUUCGUUUCUGGCAAUUUUCUCGGAACCGACAUAUCCCAAGUCGUCAACGUGGAAACAACCAAAUCACAGUCCAAGCGUCAUCUAUAAAUCGUCUCGAAUUAUCGAUCAUUCCAAACAUCAGAAGAGGAAACGUACACAACCCUUCAAAGUAUCGUUUCAACCGUUUUCUUUCGUAAAAAAAAAAAAAAGGGGAGUAGGUACGUAUACUAUACUCGUAUACUCCCAAACUUCAAAAUCUUCCGCAAAUCGUCAAAAAUAGGCAAACGACAAUCUUAAUAUUCGUCUAAACGCUAGCAACAUAUUCAGACGAUCAUGAACAUAAUCUCAAAAACUAUAUAUCAUUUCU
rnacentral:lncRNA from 1 species